CAUCAUUCUCUCUCCUGUUCCUUUUCUUUGCCAUCUUUCUCUUCCUUAGGCAGCAAGACUAACAAGUGAACCACAAAAUCCAUUUGGGUGUUUUGGCCUUCCUGCUCAUAAACUUUGACAGUGAAAUUAGCACAUGAAGAGAUAUCAUGAUCGUUAUCAUCUAUCGAUAGUUCGAAAGUCGCUGCUUAUGCAUUGUGGAGAAAGUUGGGCUUUUUCCUCUUCAACAUUGCUGCAAUACUCUAAGAUAUGGUUAUUCAUUACUUGGAUGCUCUUUCACGAGCUUCCUUUUCCAUUCAUUAAGGAGAAUGCUUGAUUUCUUUAUUUGCUUUGCAUCUCUAUGCCAUUAGAUGUUGGAUCUGUUUUUGAUAGUUCUGUGUGUACUUAGUUGUUGGGUUUUCGGCCACAAAUGACCAAAAGCAUUGCGUGGAAGAUAUUUGGCAAUGGAUGGACUAAAAUUGUAAGAGUUGUUUUAGGCAGGUAACGGGAAUUAAUUCAUGGUAAAUGAUCUACUUAUUUAGUGUUUUAAUAUUUGCCUUGCGUUAAUGCCUAGAUGUUUGAACAUCCAUUUAAGCCAUUGGCAAUUUGCGAUUGAUUAAGCAAAAUCUAUGCAAGCUUAAAAAAAUAUGUUUGCAACUCCUGUUUUUAAGUGCCAUGAGUCUCUAAUUAUUGAUUCUGUCUAACCGUAUAGAAAAAAGGAACUAAUAAAAUAGCUAUAUUUGCAUUACCAGAUUGCUAUAAGUAAGAGUAUCAUGCUAGAGAAGUCAAUGGAAUUCCUUCCCUAAGAUACUUGCAUCUUGUGUCUUACAUGUAUAUUAUAGUAUAACUCAUCCAAGAAUAGUCUACUUCUAUGCUGGGGAACAUUUAUGAUACUUGGAGAUUACUUUUGAUGUCAUUUUCUGAAGAUAACAUAAUACAACAGCUUUUUGCUGAUAUUUGUCACUCUCAGGUGCUCCAAGAGAGCUCUAACAUUUAUUUUUGCAGUAAAUUAUGGGAUUGUAUUAUUGUACCUUUUAGGUUGAUUAAUGGAAUUUUCAGAAGAUAACAUAAUAUUGCUUUUUGCUGAUAUUUGUCACUCUCAGGUGCUCCAAGAGAGCUCUAACAUUUAUUUUUGCAGUGAAUUAUGGGAUUGUAUUAUUGUACCUUUUAGGUUGAUUAAUGGAUGCUUCUUACUCU